AGUGUCUGAUGAUCGGCAUGCCUAGCAUGCACCUCUGUGUCCGUCGUCUCCAAUGGUCCUGCCCCUUUGUUGGCUCGUGCGCCGCUGCAGCUGGUGUCGUUAUGCUCCUCCAAGGUGGCGCCCUUCUUGGAAGAGACGUAAGUGGCUGCUGCCGCUCGCCUGCACAGCAACCCGACUUUGAGCCUGAGGCGUUCCUGCGUUGCUUGCGACGGAGCUUGGAGACGAUGCCAGAAUUUUGUCGUCGUUGUCCUCAUGCACCGCCAGCUCAGGGGCAAGUACGCCUUCAAAUUCGAAUCUAGCGUCACCGUAAAAGAGGAAUGUGCUAGAAAUUCCCACAUUAAUCUGAAACAUCUGACCGUUUAUUAGAUAGGAAUAUGCAAUGUUGAACUGGAAUUUAAAUGUUUUGGUUGCAAGUGAACUCAGUACCACUCUUGUUGUUAGAUAUUUGUGAUGUGAGCAAAAUCAUUGUACUACAUAUAUAAAUUGAAUCAAUAUAUACAGUUUAUUUUACAAGAGCACACAAUACAGUAAUUUAGGAUAUAGAUUAGAGGUUUCUAUAGAAUCUAAGCAUUUAAAAGGAACAUAUUUUCACUCAUGCUGCCAUAACAACUUGACAAUGAGAAUCUUAUAAGAACUACAUUUUCAGUGAUACAAUCUAGAAAUUAUCAAUUCCUAAGACCCUAGCUAGAACCCAAUAACGAUUUACAACAAGGAUGGUCUAGCAAGAGCAAGAUCAACACCAUCUCUGAAUUUCCUCAAGCAUGUGAUGCACAGCAACCAACAAUGGUGGAGCAAAGUGAGUUGUACCUGAAUAGUGCCCGACCGAAGCGACUCAGUCUGAGAUUUCGUAGCCACAACCAUGGCAAGCGUGCACGGCCUCACCAUGAGCGAGAGAGGGCACCAAAGCUAUUCUGGCUCAAAUAGGAUGAAGAUGUUAGUGGUAGGAGAAGCAUAUGCCCCCUGGCCGUUGCUUAGGCAGCUCCGUACAUGCAAAUACAAUACAAGAAAUUGUUGGAAUUGUCAGCUAAAUAGCAAAUUCAGUUAGAAUUUCAUGUCAACAUAAAACCCCAAUUUAAUGAGAUCAAGAUAUCUUUUUUUUACAAAAAUAAUAAACACAAGUGCUAGAACAAUAGUUGUACCUAAAUACAGUUUACGGAUGCACAUGAAUAGAUCCACACGAAUAGAGCCAAAUGAAUGGUCGACUCAGUAACCUCACCAUGAUCCCGAGAUAAUUGCUAUCCCAUCUGGAGGCGACUCCAUCAUUGCUAUGGAGUAGAGCUACAGAACCACAGAACAACAUCUCUCCUCAUGGAACCAGGGUGAGAAGAACACGUAGAGGAGCAUGAUAUGAGGUCACAUAGGCAUGAUGUCAGGCACACUGGCAGCCGACAAUGCCAUGGAGAAGAAACAUAGCAGAAGCAGCUGAGCGAGGAUGUAGUGGGUCAGUGGGAAGGUCAAACGCAGCAGCUUGGACCAAUUGAAUUGAUGGCCAUUAGAUAGGUCAAUGAAAGAGAAUUGGGUGGCGCUUGGCUAGGGUCUUUCUUUGCAAUGUUCUUCUUCUUCGGGAUUGCACUCCAUCGCCACACUUCCUCGUGGUCUUCCCCAUCCCGCCAGACACCCCCUGCCUCUUCUCACGCUGUCCCGCGGUCUGGUGUCGCUCGAUGGCCUCACUGCUCAGUAGCUACUUCACUGUAAGAAUGGGAACCAAUCUUGUUUAGAGAGAACAUUCUGUGAGUGAAAAUUACAAAAUGCAUGAAUCAUCAUGAAAACGAAUAGCAGUACAUCAUAACCAAGUGAAGAAAUAAAUAAGAAGUGAAAGGAACUUGCAGAAAUCAAUUGCUUAUGUAAGGAUAAUCUGCAAAAAUAUGUUUGUCAAGACAAAUCUAAAAAUCAAACUGCUUGUGUGACUUUAAUACGAAUUAAAUUGUUGAACCAAAUAUGUUUGUCAAGACAAAUCUGAAAACCAAACUAUUUGUGUGACCUUAAUACGAAUUAAAUUGCUGAACCUCACUAUAGUGGAAAAGAUAUUAAUAACCAACAGGGUAAGACUUUCAAUCCUACUGUUUGCUAGCAUGCAUAACAAUGUGACUCCCAGCAUACACCAACAAUGCGAAAAAAUUAGAGCUGUAAGGCAUGAAUUCCUAAUACAUAGAACAUGAUGAUGAAAAACUAAUUCAAGCUGAACAGAAUCAAAUCCUACAGCUCAUCCAUCUUAUGAGGAAAGGAUUCCUGCUUCCAAAAUCUAAUUGUCUCUGCAAAUUCAGAUGACCAUUAUAAGAAUAAUUAAUAUAUCUCACCAUGAACGUCCAGAUGUUAUUGGAGCUGCUGUGUCUAGGCAUAAAAAAGGGCAACACCUAACUGCAACUCCUUUAUACGAUUAAAGAAAGUUCAAUAUAAAUUUGUCAAACAAUAGGAGCCAGCGUACCCAUGUGUCUUGAGACUCCACAUGAUGUAAAUUAAUUAGCAACCCAUUAUUCUAGUAUCCCAAUUAACUCCCACCAUCCUACCAUUUU
rnacentral:lncRNA from 1 species